rnacentral:hammerhead_ribozyme from 1 species
ACCCAACUGACGAGUCUCAAAUAGGGCGAAACGCGCGUCCUGGAU